CUACGGGGGGCAGCAGUCGAGAAUCUUCCACAAUGGGCGAAAGCCUGAUGGAGCGACGCCGCGUGUUUGAUGAAGCCCUUCGGGGUGUAAAAAGCUUUUCUGUCUGAGAAAUUUAGCUUGCUAAAUGAUGUUAAGACAGGAAUAAGGGGUGGCUAACUUCGUGCCAGAAGCCUCGGUAAUACGAAGGCCCCAAGCGUUAUCCGGAAUUACUGGGCGUAAAGCGUGUGUAGGCGGUUUUAAUAGUGGCUGGUUAAAUUCCGGGGCUUAACCCCGGAGCUGCCCGCCAAACGUUAAGACUAGAGCAGGUGAGAGGCCAAUGGAACUUACCAAGUAGGGGUGAAAUCCGUUGAUAUGGUAGGGAACGCCAAAGGCGAAGGCAAUUGGCUGGCGCCUAGCUGACGCUAAGACACGAAAGCGUGGGGAGAGAAGAGGAUUAGAUACCCGCGUAGUC
rnacentral:rRNA from 1 species